GAAAUAAUCAAUAAAUCUUAACGCCAGGUCACAAUGUACAACUUGCAAAAAUUACAAUUUAAAUAAUAUAAAUAGUUUUUUUAUACCCCAUAUUAAUUUUUGGUAUAACGUUGUCUGUUGUCAACAUGUCGGACACUAGCUCAAAAACAGUUUAAUCAAUAUUUAGAUUAUACUUGGUGAAUUGUUUAUCUAUUGACUAGAGCUCCAUUUUGGUUUUUUUUUAACAAAUUUCAUAUUAUAUGUUUCCUAGUUUUGGUUUUUUUUUCUUCUGUUUAUUAAUUUCUGUCCUCAUUACUUUAUAGAAUGCCUAAGAGGAAGUAAAGGUAGAAUGUGCCAUAUCACAGGAAAAGACGUGGAACUGGCAAACCAAAAUUAGACAAAGGGCAAACUGAAAUACAUGCACUUACGCCAGACAUCGCACAUGAUGAAGAUCUUUUGUCAUCUGAAACAGAAGAGCUUACAUGCACCAGUGUGGAUUCAGUCUCUUUGGAUCAUUCAUAUUUGUCUGAUAACCAGACAGUGGCAGAACUUUGUUUAGAUGAAGAAAUUGAUGUUAAUCAACAUAUUAAACUUGAAUGCAAAAAAGAAUGUGUAAUAUCUUAUUUAUAUGUUCACGGCAUCGAACUAAGUAGAGAACAUGACAUCUGGUUAGGAUUGCCAAGUGUGUAUGACAACAUAACAAGUAUUGAG
rnacentral:lncRNA from 1 species